UAGCUGCUGUCGAAGCUCCAUCUACAAAUGGAUAAGACCCGGUCUUAAUGUAUACGAGUUCUUUUUGAAAUAAAAAGGAGCAAUAACCUCUUUCUUGUUCUAUCAAGAAGGCGGUAUUGCUCCUUUUUUUAUUUAGUAGUAUUUGACUUACCUAGUUUCUUUAAAUAAGUUUAAAGAAACGUCGUUUUCUUUUUAUCGGUUGGUUCAUGAGUGAGUAUCAUGCUUUCGUUCUGUAUUAAUCAUUAAUUAGCCAUUUCUUCCCAUUGGGAAGUCUUUUUUUAAAGAAAAAAUAAAAAUGUUGGACUUUUUACUUAGUUAMUACUUAAUAUUUUYAUCUCGAAAAAAAGAAAGAUAAGAAAGAAAUAACGAUGAAUGGUAAAAAUUUAAUCUUUUGAAAGGAAAAGAAUAAUAGGGGGGCGGAU
rnacentral:misc_RNA from 1 species